UACAACAUAGCGAUAAUACAUCAGAUCCCAUUAUAACUCUGAAGUUAAGUGAACUCAAGCUAGAGUGGUACUGGGAUGGGUGAUCGCCUGAGAAGUACUAGUGUUUUAC
rnacentral:rRNA from 1 species